GCCCUUCCUACGGGAGGCAGCAGUGGGGAAUAUUGCACAAUGGGGGAAACCCUGAUGCAGCGACGCCGCGUGGAGGAAGAAGGUCUUCGGAUUGUAAACUCCUGUUGUUGGGGAAAAGAAGGAUGGUACCCAACAAGGAAGUGACGGCUAACUACGUGCCAGCAGCCGCGGUAAAACGUAGGUCACGAGCGUUGUCCGGAAUUACUGGGUGUAAAGGGAGCGCAGGCGGGUAUGCAAGUUGGGAGUGAAAUACAUGGGCUCAACCCAUGAACUGCUCUCAAAACUGUGUAUCUUGAGUAGUGCAGAGGUAGGCGGAAUUCCCGGUGUAGCGGUGGAAUGCGUAGAUAUCGGGAGGAACACCAGUGGCGAAGGCGGCCUACUGGGCACCAACUGACGCUGAGGCUCGAAAGUGUGGGUAGCAAACAGGAUUAGAUACCCUGGUAGUCCACACCGUAAACGAUGAUUACUAGGUGUUGGAGGAUAGACCCCUUCAGUGCCGCAGUUAACACAAUAAGUAAUCCACCUGGGGAGUACGACCGCAAGGUUGAAACUCAAAGGAAUUGACGGAAGGGC
rnacentral:rRNA from 1 species